AUUGAACGCUGGCGGCAUGCUUUACACAUGCCAGUCGAACGGCAGCGCGGGCUUCGGCCUGGCGGCGAGUGGCGAACGGGUGAGUAAUACAUCGGAACGUGCCCAGUAGUGGGGGAUAGCUCGGCGAAGGCCGGAUUAAUACCGCAUACGACCUGAGGGUGAAAGCGGGGGAUCUUCGGACCUCGCGCUAUUGGAGCGGCCGAUGGCAGAUUAGCUAGUUGGUGGGGUAAAGGCCUACCAAGGCGACGAUCUGUAGCUGGUCUGAGAGGACGACCAGCCACACUGGGACUGAGACACGGCCCAGACUCCUACGGGAGGCAGCAGUGGGGAAUUUUGGACAAUGGGCGAAAGCCUGAUCCAGCAAUGCCGCGUGUGUGAUGAAGGCCUUCGGGUUGUAAAGCACUUUUGGCGGGAACGAAAAGGACUGUGCCAAUACCACGGUUCGAUGACGGUACCCGCAGAAUAAGCACCGGCUAACUACGUG
rnacentral:rRNA from 1 species